AGUUACUGUAGUAACCAGUCCAAGCGAAUAGACACCGAUCAGAGGGGAUAUCAAGGCACAAGGAUCUGCAGCCUUUACAAGCCGCAGGGAAAAGGAACUACGUGGGACCCUUUCCCCCUCCCCACGUGGGAGUGGGUACUUGUUCUUCAAUAAACCUCCACCUUUGCUAUACCA